CCUCCAAAAUAUUGCAGUUGCAGACGUAACCUACCACUUCUGGGUUAUCGAGAGACUCUUGGAAGGAUUUCAGCUUGUGAGGUUGAAGUUGGGGGAAAACCGGGGAGUGUAUUUGGCAUCUUGUGCCAUAAGCAUUGUGUGUGACUUGCUAGAGGACAGACUGACAGAUAUUUGGGAGAUCUUCAAGUUGGUUUCUCCCCACCUCAUCUCAUCUCGAGGGUCUAUUACGUCAUAGAUGCUGUACUAAAAGUGAAAGGACAGAGAUGAGAAGGACAGGCACUCCUAGGUGGGGUGGAGCAUCUAGGAAAAGCACCAUGAAAUGGGCAGUGCCAUAAGGAGUCACCGUGAACUCAAUUGUUUCAGAAGUUGGUGGAGUCUGGGCAUUCCACUCUGAAAUGCAGCAUCUUGGCAUCUCAGGAAACAGAGGCAGAUCACAGACUCUAGAAAGAAUUCCUCUCUCACUCUUGCCCCCAGCUCCUUAGUACUCUCUAUGAUUAAAUUGGCUUGUCCUUAAAAUAGUUUAUAAAACCCUCAUGCAAGAGUAGGACUCUUUUCAUCCAGAAGGGUGAAAACUCUUUUCAAGAUUGUUAGCGCUGGAGACACAGAAGCGCCGAAGGAAGCCUGAGCAAACAGACCUGGCCAGGUUCCUUCCAGUUUGCCAUCAGCCCAUACCCCUUUGUCCCCAAGCCCACUUCUGCACAGCUGUCCAUAAGAACUCACAGAUUUUCCGGUUCCAUGUAGCUUAGACUGGCCUUGAAAUCUUUAUGUAGUGAGGAUGACCGGAAUGACCAUGGGCUCCUCAUCUCCCAAGUGCUGGCCAUAUAGGCUACUCUGCCCCAUGGGCUCUUAGUGUCUGAAGACUCCUGUGUCACGUGAGACCUACAGAAGGUGAAUCGUUGUGCAUUUCUAUAAUUAACCUAUCUUUCAUCAGAGGGUUCUUUGCCAUGAGAUUCCUGGUAGUGAAGAGAGAAGUCCUGUCUGUGAAGUGUGGUGGCCUCGAGAGGUACCAGAGGCUCAGGUAGCUGAUGCACAGGUGCAGGGGGUCAAAAGGGAGAGAGAAGCUGUGUUUAGAGCAGGCAGAGUGUAAAGUGAGAAGAACGGGGGAAGUGAAGGUGGUGUGAUGGCAGGGGCAAACCCAAAGAACCUUCCCUCAGGGCAAUGAGAAGCCAGCAGGUGGUUGAAAACAGCAACAAAUGGCUUAGCUUUCUUGCAGUUGCUCCUGCCCAUGGAAGUCUCCUAGUCUAGUCUUUAUCACUAGGCACUUGUGCCUCGGGUAUUCCUAAGAGGGGCUAUGGAUCGAUAGUCGCUGUUUACGAAGAACAAAGAAGCUGAAGACAGUGAGGUCCCAACCAGAAUCCCAACAGGAUUUGCUGAGUUUCUCCUACUUUUUUAUCAUUAGGUCAGAGCCCCUGUCCCAUCCUGCUUUCCCACCAAGGUCCCCUCUUCAUCAGGUUUAUGCAUUAAAAAUACACAGGUUUAGGGGGCUGGAGAGGUGGUCCAGGGGUUAAGGGUGCAUAUUGUUCUUUUAGAGGACCAACAUCAGGUGGCUCAAAACCACCUGUAACUCCGGCUCCAUCCAGGGCACCCUUUCCUCUGAUUUCUGCAUUAAUGUAUACAGACAUACAUAAUUUUAAAAACCAAUAAAAACAAUUCUUUAAAAACUACAGGUUUUCUCAUUUUCGAUUUCUGAAGAUUCUCAGGUCACAUAAACUCAUAUUAUAUAAUCUGGCAUGCUCUCUCUUGUAAACCUUUGUUAAAGGGCCUCACUGUGAACCUAGAGGUAUGUGAGAAAAUGUCACUCCCUAGGACACCCUGGCAAGGAAGAACGCUUUUCAUUUUGUUCAUCUCCCAACACCCUUCUACUACAGAAAAAGGGUGACCAGUUUAAUAAAAUGCUCUUCAUCUUGCCCAGCGACUUGUGUACAAGGAAGUGGUUCUGAGUAACACCCUUUGCCAGCCUGCCUGGGAACUCGCUAGAAAUGCAAAUUAUUGAACUCCACCCAAGGCCCAGUAAAUCAGAAACUCUGUGGGUGGAACCCAGGCUUCUAGCUUUCAGGAGGCCUCUUGGAGACUCUGGCUAAUGUUAAAAAUUUGAGGACCAUACGUAAGAGGGUAAGCUUUAAUUAAAAAAUUGCUGUAGCGAACAAACUUAAUCUUCUUGGAUCUCUUGGCCAAAGUUCUGCAGAAUCACCAGGAGAGGGCGGCUGUGGACCUGCCUUUUGCCUUCCCAAACUGCAGAGCCCUACGGAGGGUAAACAGCAGCCACAGCAAGUUCUAUCCGUUGCCCAAGUAAAUCACAAAUAUAUAAAAAGAGACUUCAAAAGGCCGUGCUAUCAAAGCGACAGUUAAAGGCGACAUUCAAAGUCACAGCUGCAUCGACGAGGCUGCAUCAGCAUCUCGGAUUCCGAAGCGUUUAGGGCUGAAGCAGUUUUAUUUUUGCGGUAUUUCUUCGAGUCCCUUUCCUUUGAUAUACAUGAGCUUCUCGACUUUCCUUUGUUCUUUUUCCACGCGUCAGGUUUUCAUCAGGUUUUCGAGCUUCCCCGCAAAGACGUAGAACCGCAGCACGAUCAGCUGCGCAUCCGCAAUGCUCUGCCGCCCUAGCAGGGUUCGUCAAAUGCAGGCAGGGAACGUCCUUCCUCCCUACUUCCUCCACAGGACCCCACCACCUUCCCCACGCACAACAUUUUGAUCUCCUCUGUGGCUUUUGUGCUCUGCUUCUUUCUUCUCAACUCUGGAGCUGUCAUUGUUUCCAGGUUCCGUUACUGAGUCAGGGGACUUUUUGCAAGAGCCAAGUCACAGUGGGCCUAGAUCUUGAUGAGGUGCUGAAUAACAGAGAAGUGUGCAAGGACUGAGACCUCCCUGUUUCCUCUCUGCCUGGCCCUUGCACUGAGGCACACCCACAUCAGGAAGUCGGGACCCUGGUUAGAGAUCAACACAAGUUGAAAGAGACUUACUUCUGAAAAGUGUAAUUAAAACAACAUCAAUGACAAUGAAGGUUCAGGGAACACCAAGGAGGAAGGAAAACAAGAAAUACAGGGCAGGAUGCUUGGGAGGAGGGCUGCAAAUUGCUAUUUUUCAGGGCACAGGAAUGCCAUUGCAAAUGUGAUCUUACCAGUCUCACCGUAGCAGCAGCUGCAUGCACAGGACCUGCACAAGUCUGGGCUGAUUGACAGCCAACCAUAGAUAGGAAAAGGUUCAUGAGCACCGAUUGUCCCUGCCAACUUAUGGAUUCUGGGGAAGGGAGAGUCGUUGUCUUCAGUUGUCUACUCAAGGACUUUUCAUGACAAUGAGACUCAUCUGCUCCUAGCAACACCAAUCUGCUUCAAAAGGAGGAUGGGCUUCAAAGAAGCUCCUUAGGGAGCUUGUUAGCCAUUUUGGUAAGAAACUGUUCUUGCCUGGACUGCUUGAUGUUAUGCUGUAUGAACUGGACAUGCAG